GGAUUGACGAUGACUUUAAAAAAAAAAAAAAGAAAAAGAAUCUCAUUGAAAUCUGAAAAAAAUGAGUGACCAAACCACUUCUGUGAGCUGAGGUCC
rnacentral:snoRNA from 1 species